AUUCAAAAUGAAUCAAAACUUUCAACAACGGAUCUCUUGGUUCUGGCAUCGAUGAAGAACGCAGCGAAAUGCGAUAAGUAAUGUGAAUUGCAGAAUUCAG
rnacentral:rRNA from 1 species